UCCUGCAUAUUAUACCAUUAAUGUAUCCAUCUGUGAUCAGGGGUCUUCUGAAAUGAAUUGUAAAGGGUACAGAUGUUUUUAGAAAUUAAAUCUACUUGGAGCAAUGAGGAGCUUCAUGCAGCCUGCAGAGAUUUCUGUUUAUCUGAAAAUGUCUGCUACAAACACGUGAGAGUUUAGAGACUAAACUAUUUUUCAAUUUAUCUGUUAAAUGGCACCAGGUGGUUCGCAGGGUUUUUUCUAACAAUGUUCUGUUGCAAUGUUUUGAAAUAAACUUUUCCUUAUCACAGGACAUAUCUGAACAAGACUAAGAGUGUACAGCAGUGCUACCAGCUCUGAAGCUGUGCUUUUGGCUAAUAUCAGCAUGUUAAGAUGCUCACAGCGACCAUGUUAGAAGUGUUUCUGCUGUUUGCACCUCCCCUGUGUGUCUUGUUGGUUCGCUGUUUGUUCUCUCUCUGUCUGUGUGUGUCUGUCUGGGCGUGGCACUCUGUUUCCCUCCUGCUGCCAAUCAACCUGUACACCUGCAACCCAUCCACUCAUGCAGUAUCUAUUUACCCCGGCUCUACACUCCAGUCUUCGCCAGAUUGUUCAGUCGGUCAACAUGGUUCAUUACCCAUCUGCUGUCUCUGUCUGCCUGCCUCACCCAGCGUCUUGCCAGCCUGCCUUCCAGCCGACAGCUCAACUCUCUCUGCCCAGCCCGCUCCACCGUUGUUUUGGCUCGGUUCUCCAAACUCCCAACUCUACAAUUUCUCAAUAAAACUACAUUUGAACUGUG